UCACCUGAAGCUGAUUGAGGCAAUCAGGUUGGAGAUUUAAGCUGCUUGCUGACACUGCUUCCUCGCCAGUUCGUCAACUACCCUAUUUACUCCUGAAAAUUCCAUCACACUGAACAACUCAUCUGGGAAAUCUGGUUAACCCGCCUGCUUCCAGAAUCAUCUCUUUGCCUCACCUACCUGCCCUCCUGCCCUCCUACUACCAUGGGAUCUUCACUGCUCAGGACAGCUGUCACACACCACCAAACCCACCUGGACCGCACCACCUCUCCUUCAACGCUUCCAUCUCCCACCUGCACAUACGUACCUAAUCACCAGCCAGCUGCCGUUGCUUUCUUGGACCUGUCCCCUUGCUUAUCCCUCUCCCCUGGCCAAGACCCUCACGCCCCAUGUGUCAAGCCUUAAGUCAAGUACUAUUGUAAACAUCAUUUUUUUGUGCUAGUCAAUGAACCUUUCCUCAGCCUCUGCUUUGGGUUUUCUGCACGUGGGUUUGAUUUUUGGUACUCGGCCUCCGGCUGUUUUGUGACACACUUUUACCUUUGCAGUGCGACCCUCUGAAAUGUUCAGUGUGGUGUUUCAUUUUUUUGGUAUGAAUCUGAAAAGUCAUAGCUUACACUAAGCUUUC